rnacentral:lncRNA from 1 species
CUCAUCAUCUGGCUGGGAUCUAUGGCUCCUUCAUCCCUCUGCCCCCGCAACAGCAAGGAUUGGGAAGAAGCGAGGUUCUAGGAUUGGGGUGAUUCCAGGAGAUUCCUAGGUGAGGCAGGCUCCUCCACCCAGCGUCCCAGCCCGCGGAAGCUCGCCGAAUGGAAGAGGCGGCGGCGGCGAACUGCGUGAUGGGGUGCAUACACACCGACCUCCUGCAGGACACCGCUGCGUUGCUCUGGACGCGCAUCCUCCUCCGCCCCACUGCCGACCCGGCCGGCGCACGACGCAACGCCGAUGCAUUCAGUGGCAGCAGGAAUCCAUCCACUGCAUCCCCGGCAAACCUCCCUGUGCUCCAUUGCGCAGGCGUCGUCCGGGUGUCCGUCAAGGGCGAGGUUUGUUGCUCUCUGAUAAAAUUGUACUACUAGGAAAAUGUGAUAUCCUUGCACAUCGGUUUCAACUUUCAAGUUUACCAAUUCGAUGUACUGCUGUGCAAGUUAUCUUUAUGAGGGUGUGAUUAGUCGAUAGUCGGGCUUAAUUACUUGCAGUUUACUACUCCCUCCGCCCCGAAUUACUUCGUGUCUAGAACUCUUAGAUACAUCCGUAUCAAAACAAAUCUAAGACAAGUAAUUUGGGACGGAGGUAAUACUAGUUUUGAAAGAAAAAGGAAAAUCCAAGUCGAGAGAAAAGUUCAUGUGCUGAACUUUUUAUUUGAUAUAGGUUGAACCACAGCUUACAUACACGACGAACAUAGAUUUACUUGUGAAAUGGAAGACGAUCCACGACAUAACACGAUUUCUAUCGAGAAAAGGUAAAGCAUUAAGUAAAGGAAACUAGUCUUAGGUCAUCCUGCAGCAGCAACAUCUGAGCAAUAUUAAAUGUUUGCAGUUUUUGCUCAACCCUGCAGUGCUGAAAAUGCAUCUUUGAUUGCGGUGACCUCAACGUAAACAUCCUGCAUUGAGGGACGAUAUUUGGGUGUCUCUGCAGCGCACAUGAGGCCAAUCUUAACGAGCUUGAUUAAUAAAAUUGUACUACUAGGAAAAUGUGAUAUCCUUGCACAUCGGUUUCAACUUUCAAGUUUAUUUGACAAUUCAAUGUACCACUGUACAAUUUGUCUGGUUAAGGGUGUGAUUAGUCCAUAGUUGGGCUUAAGUACUUGCAGUUUACUACGUACUAGAAAUUCAGAAAGAAAAAUAUAAGUAAAAACCCAACUCGAAAGAAAAUUUCCUAUGCUGAACCUUUUAUUUGAUUUUAUUUGAGAUAGAAGUAGGUUGAACCACAGUUUACAUACGCGACCAACAUAGAUUUACUUGUAAAAUGGAGGACGAUCCACAACAUAACACGAUUUCUGUCGAGAAAAAUAUAGCAUUAUGUAAAGUAAACUAUCCUUAGGUCAUCCUGCAGCAGCAACAUCUGGGCAAAUAGAAAAUGAUUCUACUUUUGCUCAACCCUGCAGUGCUGAAAAUGCUUCUUUGAUUGCGGUGACCUCAAUGUAAACGUCCUGCAUCGAGGGGCGAUAUUUGGGUGUCUCCGCAGUGCACAUGAGGCCAAUCUUAACGAGCUCGAUGAUACAGCUCAUUCCAGCCAUUUGCUGAUGAUUUUCUUGGUUUGGACUACUUGCUGCUUCUUCAUCUUGGUCCCCAUAAUAAGGAAUGAUUCUCGGAUCUAGAAUCUCACCAAUCUUUUUAGGAAAUGAUUUUUCCACAAAAUUGUAAAGGCUCAGGCCAUCUUUAAACAUCUCAUCAGUUGGACGCUUCCCUGUGAGCAUUUCUAAGACGAUGAUUCCAAAGCUGUAAACAUCACCCUCAGUGGAGAUUUUGCUCCCAAAGCCAUAUUCUGCAAUAUAUAUAGUAUUGAAAUCAUUAAUUAACACAAAAGAACUCGAACACAAGAAUCAAAAGAUUUCUAGGGAAACUAAAGUCAAUUUUUCAUAGGGCCUCUAAGAUAUUUGCCCAAUAUAUAUAUCCUAUAUAAAGGAAUUGUUACCUGGUGCAAUGUAUCCAACUGAUCCUCUUGGUCCAACUAAGCUUGUAGAACCAUCAAUCCUUGAAGUAUAACUGUGUAUGAACUUAGUCAACCCGAAGUCACCAACACAUGCGCCCAUGACAUCAUCCAGAAGGACAUUGCUUGGCUUCAGAUCACAGUGUGUCAUAGGAGGCAUGCAUUGGUUAUGCAGGUAAUCCAAAGCAGCUGCUAUGUCCACUGCUAUUGCUAUUCUUGAACUCAAGGACAAGGGCCUUUUCAGAUGUUGCUCGUGGAGUGUUGGAUGGAGCCAACUUUCAAGGUUGCCAUUAACCAUAUAUUCAAGGAGAAGAGCUUUGAACUCAUGUCCUGUCAGAUCACUCGUCGAGCAUACAGUGAUCACCCUUACAAGAUUACGAUGACGAGUGUUUUUGAGUGCCUGACAUUCAGCAACGAAGCUUUUCGUCGCCCCAGGCUGAUCAAGUUUGAAAACUUUGAUAGCAACUGCAUCUUCUUCAGACUCAAUUCUACCUUUGUAUACGGACCCAUACUUUCCUGAACCAACCAAGUUGGCUAAUGAGAAACCAUUUGUUGCUUUCACUAAGUCAGCAUAUGUGAACUUCUUUAACUCCUCAAAGGAUGGAUAAUCUUCUUGUUUGACUUUCUUUCUCUUCUUCAAGAAAAUGACUCCAAAACAUGAUAACAUCACUAAGGCAAGAACAGAAAGUCCUACUAUAUUCGCAAUGUUGGAUCUAUGCCUUUGUUGAGAGGCAGCUGUGUGGCAAAGUGGCAAACUCAAUAGUGGCGAGACAGCACACAACUCUUUGUUCCCUUGGACGAACACCUUGCUUGCAUUUUGGAAGAUCCCACCAGUUGGCAUGGGCCCCUCCAGGUUGUUGAAUGACAAAUUGAGAAGUGACAUGGAGCUGAAAGCCUCAAAGAAGUCUGGAACUUGACCAGACAAGUUGUUUCGAGAAAGGUCCAUGUCACUGAUGCCUUUCAAUGCAGCGAAAGAUUGAGGGAUUCGCCCAUCAAGUAGAUUCCCUUCCAGGUGGAGGGACUCUAAAUGGAGGCACUCGCCUAGAGUUGAGGGAAUUUCUCCAAUCAACAGGUUGUUGGAAAUAUCGAGGGGGGAAAGGUUGAUUAAUUUGCCAAUCUCCACUGGUAUAUGCCCAGAGAGUUUGUUGCGAGAGAGAUCAAGACCUUCAGAAAGUGUGGAAACAGUAAAUAGUUCUUUUGGUAUUGUUCCAUCAAAUGAGUUGCAAGAGAGGUUUAGGGUGUGUAACUUAUUGCACUCUGCUAAAGCUACUGGGAUGGGUCCACUCAAAUUAUUUUGAUGCAAAUAGAGCUCACUUAGUUGGCCGAGGUUAUGAAUUGAAAGUGGGAUUUGGCCAGAUAGCUUGUUUCCUGAUAAGCUUAGAACGAACAAGUUUGAAAGGUUUCCAAGUGAGUCAGGAAGGGUUCCAGUAAGCAGAUUGUGCUCCAUGUAAAGAAGUUUGAGGCUACUAAGGUUCCCUAUCUCAUGUGGUAUGGUGCCAGAUAUUUUAUUCGCUGUCAACAAUAGAGAUUCUAAGCUUUUUGGAAGAUUGCCUAUGGACUUUGGCAGUUCACCUUGUAGGUUGUUCGCGUCUAAGCGUAAAAUAGCCAGCUUUGUACAACUGGCGAGCGAGUGGAGGAAAGUCCAGUCUCCAGCUUCGAGUUGGUUCUUGCCUAGAUCUAGUUCAGUUAAGUCGGGCAAAGACCCAAAAUAAGGAACAAUACCAUGGAAUGCAUUGUCACGGAGAUUAAUUCUCUGAAGAUUUGUGGUCUCAGCCAUUGAAGUGGGAAUACGACCUCCGAAUCUGUUUCCCUGAACAAUGAAUGCCUGGAUGUUUGGAAGGGUGUGGCCAAUAUUUUCUGGAAUUUCUCCUGUUAAGAUGUUAUUGCCCAUGCCAAGGUAUUUGAGUGUCGAUAUAUCAUAGAGAGAGCCUGGAACGACUCCUGAUAAGUUGUUGUUAGUCAGAUCUAAUUUUUCCAAGCAUGGGAUUUUACUUAAACUCCAUGGAAUGUUGCCUUGCAAGUGAUUCCCUGCAAGCAAAAGCUCAAGAAGGGAAGAAGAGUUCCCAACAGAGGAAGGUAUUUUUCCUGUGAUAUUAUUGAAUGAUAGGGACAGAGUUUGCAAUGGCGAGGUGGGUGAGAAAGGUGGAAUUGAUCCAAAGAAAUUAUUUCCGUUUAAUAUUAUGAUUUCAAGAGAUGAGCUGUUGAAGAGAGAAGGAGGUACCUCUCCAUCGAGGUCAUUGCUUCCCAAUUCCAGCCAUCCAAGUGAUGAACUAUUUGCUAAGAGAGGCGGGAUGCCCCCAGUUAGGCUGUUGUUUGCCAGCACAACAAAGUAGAGUGAUGGGCUGCUUCCAAGUGAGUAAGGAAUACUGCCCGUCAACUUGUUGCCAGGAACGUACAGAGCAUAAAGCUUAGGAAGCAUGCCGAACCCAUCUGGAAUGCUUCCAUUGAGCUUGUUAUCGAGUAAGAUGUCUGUGAGAUUUAAACAGUUGGUCAAACCUAGAGGUAUCUCCCCCUGGAGGGAGUUACUUCCGAGAUCAAUAGUCUGAAGGCUAGAACAGGUAGAAAGAGAGUUCGGUAUUACGCCAGCAAGAUUGUUAUUUGGAAGGGAGAGCUGAGCAAGGUGACGCAGAUGACCUACCUCAGGCGGGAUCCCACCAUUCAGCAGGUUAUCCUGGAGGUUGAUUCUUGCGAGGAAAGUGAGAUUACCAAUGCAGGGUGGUAUCUGGCCAUUCAGGCCUAGCGAUUCAAGGUCAAGUGCUGUGACACGAGAUGCGUGCUUCUUGCCACAGGUGACACCAGGCCAACUGUAAUACUGGAGGGUAUUGUUCCACGAGGCGAGGACUUCGGUAUUGUUAGAAAGGUGGUUCUUGAGACAAAGGAGUGCCUGGAAGUCCUUACCAGAUUCAUCACCCAGCAGGGUGCCAUCUAAUGAAGAAGAAGGGGCAAAAGAGGUCAAGAAAGUGAGGAGGACGGUGGCUGUGAAGAGUGAUGAACUGAGAGUCCCUACAGGUACAGGAGCCAUCUGUGUGCUACCGCCGUUGUGGAUGUUGCUACCGAGUUUUGCUCUCCUACAGAUUUCAGCAGUAGCAGUGAGCAUGUGCAUAUUUAUAAGGGGGCUAGCUUGGAAACCUGCCUUCUCUGCACCUCUCAUCCAAACAUCUCAUAUGGAAGAUUGAAGAUAAAAAAAACAAUCUCAACUACGUUCCACGCCAGCCCUUGGAACGUGGACUGGUCUUCUCGUGCACAGCGAUUUAACCGUCUCAACUACGUUCUGUCAUCUUUUGAAGGAAAGAAAACACAAAUCUAUUGCCACUGAGGAGUCACUGCUGCCGUUCAAUCACAUGUUUUUUUCUCUUUCCGUGUUCCUCUUCACUUGCUAUUAUCCUGCCACUGCUUUGGUAUUCUUUUUUGGAUAGGUCUUAGAUUUAUAAUACCUUCUUCCAAUGUUAAUGAAAAGCAUGCUGUCUGCCUUUUUGCCCACAGAAUUUUUUUGACACAAUGAAUAGCCAGAAUAGGUCUAUUAGAUUCGUCGGUUAAAAAUAUGUGUUUCAUAUCUCGUUUAUCUACCUGAUACUAUUAACCCUGCACGUUGACUAAUCUAAUUGGAACGUGAAGAAAAAAACAGUUACCUUGAAUUUACAAGUACAACUUAAUUGUGCAUGUUUUCUAAAAACUAAAAGAAAGCACUGUUAUAUACUUUUUGUUUCAACGGCAAUAAUGGUUGUGUUAUUAUUUUCACUACAUCCUUGUGUUUUUCCUGUGGCUCACCGAAACAAUAUCUGUUACAUUCUCGUAUUUUGAAUUUCCGUAGGAUUUUCCAACACGUUAUGAUAUCUAAAUUCUACGCUUUUCAAUUCCUGAGAUGGAUUCUGAGUCUUUUUUCCUUUUCUUUUCACAGCUAGAAAUCCGUUUCUUGUUUUUGCUGUCUGCGACUGGCUGAUGGCGACAUAAAGUAGUACCGGACAUAUGGUGGUUAUUUUUUCCGGAUUUUCGCCUGCAGCAGUUAACGUAGCGGAGAGACUAAUUCAACUUUGGAGGGACUCAAAAUUUUGCAAGCAGUCCCGGUCUAGGUUUGGCAGUAUAGAAGCCUCGCCAUGGCCUCCUCCCAACUCCCAUCACUACAACUUCAGCUUCUCCCCCUGAUUUUUAAUGCACCAAGCGUGCAAGACUCGAGGCUCUGGAAAAAAGAUGUCCCGAAAGGCGAGCACUUGCCGUAUACCAACUCAGCUGCUCACGAUCCAACUCAUUCUGCUAGUUUUCUUGAUUGGUGGCAGCCUCCCCAGCACAGCAAGAGCUUAUCUUCUUGGUGUGAGGAGCGUACACUACCGCCCGAAUCCCCUUGAUAAAUCGGGAAACUGUGAGUAUAGUAGUAUACUGAAGUCAUUACUAACAGCAAUCAAAUUGUGAGUAGGAGCAUGUGAAGGGUAUUGCUAUCCCGUUCUGACCUCUUGUUGAAUGCUUAUCAACUAGUAUUUCCUUUUACCAUUUCUGCAGUAAAUCCUCAUGGCGAACCAGAAACCGCUGGAGCAAAUCCUCGUGGUUCCCGAAGGGUCCCUUGGGACACAAGAAAUCACAAGCACAGAGGCUGAGAAGCGUGGACGCAGUGAGACAAAGGGAUUAGUUGAUGGGCGUGCUACUUGUACUUGUGAGCUAUGCAGCUUGUUAAACAAAGUUUAUAUGCAACUAGUCAUUUCUGUUGGGCAGUUGGGCAGUUGGGCAGGCAAAAAACCAUCAUCUACACUUUGUUUGGUUGCUUGCAUAUAGGCUGCCUGCAUUAGGGGAGUAUUUUCUGCCUGCUGUUUGGUUGCGUGCAUUGGCUUGGCAGAUGGAAGUGCCCGGUGUUUGGUUGCAUACAUGCAACGUGAGUAGGAGUUAAUACCUACACAUGACACACUUAGUUAGAGUAGAGU